ACUGUAAUCUCAACGGUGGAUCAUUCCAUCCAGAGAAGCAGCAGGAGAUGCUGGGAGCUGGGGCUAAGAACUCAAAAUAUCAUGUAUCAGCAAUCAUUUUUGGUAAUGGUGCGUAAACGUUCCUCAAUCUAGAAAAUUCAAGGCAGCACUCUGUUCCAGAGGAUGUCUUUCAGACACAGCAGAACCUGAGGGGGCUCGAAGUGCAGUAAGACAUUCUGAAAUACACCCUACUUCUAACUUAGCACCCAGUUGCACAGGUGAAGACACAAUUUUU